GAUGAACGCUGGCGGCGUGCCUAAUACAUGCAAGUAGAACGCUGAAGCUUGGUGCUUGCACCGAGCGGAAGAGUUGCGAACGGGUGAGUAACGCGUAGGUAACCUGCCUCUUAGCGGGGGAUAACUAUUGGAAACGAUAGCUAAUACCGCAUAAAAGUCGAUAUCGCAUGAUAUUGAUUUGAAAGGUGCAACUGCAUCACUAAGAGAUGGACCUGCGUUGUAUUAGCUAGUUGGUGAGGUAACGGCUCACCAAGGCGACGAUACAUAGCCGACCUGAGAGGGUGAUCGGCCACACUGGGACUGAGACACGGCCCAGACUCCUACGGGAGGCAGCAGUAGGGAAUCUUCGGCAAUGGACGGAAGUCUGACCGAGCAACGCCGCGUGAGUGAAGAAGGUUUUCGGAUCGUAAAGCUCUGUUGUAAGAGAAGAACGAGUGUGAGAGUGGAAAGUUCACACUGUGACGGUAACUUACCAGAAAGGGACGGCUAACUACGUGCCAGCAGCCGCGGUAAUACGUAGGUCCCGAGCGUUAUCCGGAUUUAUUGGGCGUAAAGCGAGCGCAGGCGGUUAGAUAAGUCUGAAGUUAAAGGCUGUGGCUUAACCAUAGUACGCUUUGGAAACUGUUUAACUUGAGUGCAGAAGGGGAGAGUGGAAUUCCAUGUGUAGCGGUGAAAUGCGUAGAUAUAUGGAGGAACACCGGUGGCGAAAGCGGCUCUCUGGUCUGUAACUGACGCUGAGGCUCGAAAGCGUGGGGAGCAAACAGG
rnacentral:rRNA from 1 species